UUAAAGGCUAUGAAGAGAAGAAGUAUUUUGGUUAAAAUAUAUGACAGUAAAGAGAGCCGCCGGUUGGUGUAAGGCGGAGUGUCGACCAAAAGAAAUACAUCUUGGAGCCGCAAACCGAACGGUAUGCAUUUUACUAAGUAGACUUUGCCGUGUAAGCGCGUUAAAGCUUAUAGGCGUUUUUUGACGCUAAAGGCCGAUUUGAUAAUUUUAAAUCGGUAAAUAGAGGUGGUACCGCGGUUAUUAUCGCCCUCUGC
rnacentral:ncRNA from 1 species